UAUCACCAUCUUGGUUUGAAGUGGCAAUUGAAAGACUAUGUUUCAUGCUUUAUUUGGCAGUUGUCUCACAGUUUAAUAUUUAAUUGGGUGUUAAAUAUUGCAGCUUUGAUGUGGAUAAUGGACCAAAAGCUGCUGAGUUUAUCAAGGGAGCAAUACAAAAAUGGCCUCAAUCACGACCUUUGUGUUUGAUCUUGAAAGUAUUUUUACAGCAGAGAGGCCUGAAUGAGGUUUGAGUUUGUCUUUAUUUAAAGCACUGUUAUUUUUCUUCGGGAAAAAAUAGUCAUUCCUCUGCUUGAUUUUCAAUGUUUUUGAAACUAUGCAGGUGUAUUCUGGCGGAAUAGGUUCAUAUGCCCUCCUUGCAAUGAUCAUAGCCAUGUUGCAGAAUCUGCGUGAAACUCAAGCUUAUCUGGAACAUAACUUGGGGAUGCUCUUGGUACAUUUCUUUGAUUUUUAUGGUCAAAAAUUGAACACUGUGGAUGUUGGUCUGUCUUGCAAAGAUAGAGGCACUUUCUUUUUAAAGAAUAGAAGAGGGUUUUCAAAAGAAGGACGACCAUUUCUCAUCUCCAUUGAAGACCCACAGGGGGGCUUGAUUUUGGCUACUUUUUAUUCAUGCUUCCUUUGACUGCCAAGCUAUGCUUGUUUGUGUGUUUUUGUUUAAUUUUUUUUAUUAAUUUAUUCCUUAUGACAAACAGACACCAGACGAUGACAUCGGGAAGAACUCAUUCAACUAUAUCCAGUUUAACAAUUUUUAUCUUUCUAGUUCACUGUGUUUUAAGAUUAAGUCGGCUUUCGGUAUGGCCCCUUCUACCCUUACUAAUCCGAAGACCAUUUUGUCUCUGGGCCCGAAUAGAAGCAUUCUUGGUACCAUAAUUAGACCGGAUCCAGUUUUACUUGAGCGCAAAGGAGGACCUAGUGGGGAUGUCACUUUUAAUAGCUUGCUUCCUGGUGCCGGAGAGCCUUUAAAAACAAUUCACGGAGAGCAGCAGGAAAUUUUAUGCAAUUGGCAAUUAGACGAUGAAGAACCACUGCCUCGAGGCGAUGGAAACACUGGAGAUGUUAGUGCUCAAUCCUCUGGGAGGAAAAGAAAGUCCUCUUCCAAAGAAAGACACCGAAAGAAGAAAGUAAAAGAAAAUGGUGAUCUAAGAAAGUUAUGGGAUGAAGAAACAAUCACAAAGAAAGAGAAGAUUCUAGGAAGAAAAGUUUUAGACAUAAGGAUAAACAUAAUGAUUCCAAUGGUUUUGGUCGUCAUCCCAGUGGUUCGUUCUGGAGUCGCUAGAAUAAACGUAUUCUAAUGCCCCCGUGCCUUUGGUUUUCUGCUUCAAUCAUUCGAGAAUCAACCGUGGCUUUAAACGGUGGUCUAUUUGUGCCAAUGUUCAGGUCAAUUUCUUAGUUCUAUCAUACAAGGUUCUGAGAUAAGCUACUAUUGACUACCAUUUCUUCUGGGACAUGGAUGGGUUUAUUUUCAUUACAGUAGUCCCAUUGUUCUUAGCAUGUUGCUGAGGCCACUUUAUUGUAGUAGUCAAGAAUUACCAAGAUGAUGAUAAUGAAGGGGAAUAGAGCUUCUCUGGAAUCUCUCUUAGCUGCAGGCGAAGCCACAGCACCUGCGCUCUUAAAAGCAAUUCGAGAGUCAUGGUGCUCUGUAAUCGUUUUGUCGGACGGAUUUGCUUUUUCGAGUUGGUGCCUGAAAGAACUUUCCGAGAUUGUUCAACAGAAAAACGACAAUGGACAUAAGUCUUCCCAAUUUUCUAUGGUGUGGAUCCAUCUGAUUUAAGAAAACAGACCAGAGAAGUUCGAGAUGCCUUUACUAAGGUGAUCUGCUUUAACUCAAGUAGCUAACAUCAAGGGAUGGCACUUGAAUAACAGACACGAAUCAGAGUUUAUUCGAGAAAUCGUUAAAGGGUAUCAACAAAAUUAUGUCGAACAUUCGCAAGUGCUCCCAAUGACAUAAUUGAAGUUCAAUCACGUUCGGAAAAGUUGCACUCCAAAAUAGACACAAGGAAUGAAGAUGAUUGUGUUCGCAUUAUAUAUAGGGGUUUCUGGCAUGGAUGGGUUAGGUAAAACAACUAUUGCAAUAUAUUUUUAUACCCAAAUUUCAAGUCAUCUUGAAGACAAAAUCUUUUUGGCUGAUGUUCGUGAAGUUGUGGAGAAACAAGGACUUGUUUGUUAGCAGAAACAACUUCUUUCCCAGAUUUUUCCAGAGGAAAUAUUCAAUUUUUUUAAUGUUCAUGAAGGGAAUGACAUCAUAAGUCGAACCUUAUCUCAUAAGAAGGUUCUUGCUGUUAUUGAUGACGCGGAUAACAAACAGCACUUACAAGGUUUGAUUGGAAAGCGUGCUUGGUUUGGAGUAUGCCAAUGGCCUUCCAUUAACAGAUCGAAUGUAGCUCAAUGGAGAAGCGCUAUAGAAAGACUUGAAAAGGAAUCCAAACAAGAAAUUCAUGGCAGACGUCAGAUAAGUUUUGAUGGGUUAGAAGAAAUAGAGAAUGAUAUAUUUUUAGAUAUUGCAUGCUUCUUCAUGGCAGACUUACUACGUUCUAUCUGAAAACACUGCAAGUCUGUGUAAAUAGAUAGAACCGUAACCCUUAUCCACGCAUAAAAUUUGUUUCUUAUUACUUGUUGAUUACUCUGAUAUUCAGGCUACUGAAGCUGUUCAAGGUAUUGCAUUGGAUCAUAUGGGGUACAAAUUCAUGCAUCUAUGAUCUAUAUCUGUAUGUGUAGUUGAUUACUCUGAAUAUUGUGAAACUCAUUCAUCUUUUGCCCUUGGUUAUCAGAGAACAAAAUAGGACCAAGAUUACAUUUCAACUCUCCGUUUUUAUAUUGUUUUCUUCAACAGCCUCUGCAUAAGUUAAAACUGGUCGACCUCGAAGGCCCUGAAAACAUAUUGAAUACACCGGACUUUAGUAUGGCCCCGAACCUUGAAAGUUUGAUUUGGAAGAUACUGGAAUAUCGAAGUUUCAUCCGACAAUCAAGUGUCUAAGGAGGCUUAAAGUUCUGAAUUUAAGGAACUGUAAAAGUCUUAGGAGUCUCCCAAGCAGCAUAGGAGGGUGUGAAUUCCUCAAAGAUCUUAAUCUCUGUGGCUGCUCUAAACUUCAAAACUUGCCAGAGAAUUUGCAGCUAAUAAAAUCUUUGGAGAGGCUUGGCUCGAGUAAAACUGCCAUAAAUCUUUCAUAUGAAAAAUGAAGGGUGGUGGGGUGGUUGUCUUUUCGAGGAUGCAAGGGACCACCAUCUAGAGGGCGGUCAUAUUGGCCUUUUAUAUCAAGGGCAACAGAAAGAGUUAGCCCGAACUCUAUGACUCUGAGGCUACCUGCUAAGCUUAUCGGGUUUGAGUACUUUAAAAGAACUGAAUUUAAAUGACUGCAACCUUAAUUAUGGGUCUAUUCCUAAUGACAUUUGCAGCUUGUCCUCAUUAAAAUGUCUAGACUUUCGGAUAAUAAUUUCAUCACCUUGCCUACAGCCCUUAGUCGGCUUUCCGAGCUUACUUGUUCAGUACUAACUGCGAAAAGCUUAACAUCAUUGCCUGUGCUUCCAGCAGGCAUAAAACUAUGGAUAGUUAUGGCUGUGCUUCAUUGUAUGUAGUUGCAGAUUCAACAACAGAUUGCGAUUCAAGGGUUGAUGGAUCUAUCUGUGCUGUUAACUGUUUCAAGUUGGCUGAGGGUAACAAAGCAGUGACAAUGCCGAAAAGACAUAUUAGGGUUGCUACUCUUUUAUAUGUCAUGUUAUUUUCAUCUGCAGCUCCCAAGGAGUUAUGGUGAAGAAAUGUGGGGUCCGAAUAUUGUAUGAUAAAAAAUCGGAAGAGAUGAAGCGUAACAUAAACGAGCAGAGUGAACCAACUUAUAGUGACUCUUAGCAUUGACAUCCGACGAAAGUUUACUUAUAAAUUAACAGAUUUAAUAGAUUCAGUUUUAGUAAGUCAUAUGGAUCUGUUAGAGAUUAUGUUAAGAGAUCAUAAUUUUUCGGGGAUGUCGAGGUCAUUACAUCCAGAGAGUUCUCUCGAGUCUUUAUCUUUGAAAGAAAGUUCGUGUGGAGAAGAUUCAGAGAAUGUUUAAUCUUCCAGAACAUCAAGGCACGUGCGUUGAACAUGAAGUCUGUGUUCAUUAUGUUGAAG